UAAAAACCCCGACUUCGGAAGGGGUGUAUUUAUUAGAUACAAAACCAGUGCCCUUCGGGGCUCUUUGGUGAUUCAUGAUAACUAUACGAAUCGCACGGCCUUGCGCCGGCGAUGGUUCAUUCAAAUUUCUUCCCUAUCAACUUUCGAUGUUUGGGUAUUGGCCAAACAUGGUUGCAACGGGUAACGGAGGGUUAGGGCUCGACCCCGGAGAAGGAGCCUGAGAAACGGCUACUACAUCCAAGGAAGGCAGCAGGCGCGCAAAUUACCCAAUCCCGACUCGGGGAGGUAGUGACAAUAAAUACUGAUACAGGGCCCUUUCGGGCCUUGUAAUUGGAAUGAGUACAAUUUAAAUCCCUUAACGAGGAACAAUUGGAGGGCAAGUCUGGUGCCAGCAGCCGCGGUAAUUCCAGCUCCAAUAGCGUAUAUUAAAGUUGUUGUGGUUAAAAAGCUCGUAGUUGAACCUUGGGCCUGGCUGGCCGGUCCACCUCACCGCGUGCACUGGUCCGGCCGGGCCUUUCCCUCUGUGGAACCCCAUACCCUUCACCGGGCGUGGCGGGGAAACAGGACAUUUACUUU
rnacentral:rRNA from 1 species